rnacentral:misc_RNA from 1 species
CCUGAGUGCCUGUGAGUUAUAGUGGAUCUGAUCGCACCUUUUCCCAAUGGUGUCUAAUCUGAGUGAAGUUGGUUCCAUCUUGAAGGUUUCAACGUGCUGAGUUCAAGAUGAUCUCAAAUUGUCGAUCCAACAGUCAGAUUGUCCGAGAUCUAACCGAAAAGCUUGAAAAACUCGAAAUUUCUUUCCUUCAUAACUUUUUCCUUCGACCACCAUUCGAUGCAAAAUUGGUCUCAAAAGAAAGCCCGUGGAAUGAGGAUUCCAAUGCCACCAGAAUCGCGUCCAUCCAACGUCAGACAGCACCAAAAUCACACUUGAAAGUUCUUGCCUUUGCACAUGUAUUUAUCUCUUUCAUCCCUCAUUUGCUAGCACUUUUAGUGGUCCUGGCCGCCCUUCACAGCCUGAUGGUCGUCGCUAGAAGUAGUGUUGUUGCUAGAGGUGUCGCUGAUGGUAGGUGGUGGUUCACCGGAGAAGAAAGAAAGAGA